GCUUGUUUGAACCGCAUGGUUCAAACAUAAAAGGUGGCUUCGGCUACCACUUACAGAUGGACCCGCGGCGCAUUAGCUAGUUGGUGAGGUAACGGCUCACCAAGGCAACGAUGCGUAGCCGACCUGAGAGGGUGAUCGGCCACACUGGGACUGAGACACGGCCCAGACUCCUACGGGAGGCAGCAGUAGGGAAUCUUCCGCAAUGGACGAAAGUCUGACGGAGCAACGCCGCGUGAGUGAUGAAGGUUUUCGGAUCGUAAAGCUCUGUUGUUAGGGAAGAACAAGUACCGUUCGAAUAGGGCGGUACCUUUUUCGGUUUCUAACCAGAAAGCCACGGCUAACUACGUGCCAGCAGCCGCUGUAAUACGUAGGUGGCAAGCGUUGUCCGGAAUUAUUGGGCGUAAAGGGCUCGCAGGCGGUUUCUUAAGUCUGAUGUGAAAGCCCCCGGCUCAACCGGGGAGGGUCAUUGGAAACUGGGGAACUUGAGUGCAGAAGAGGAGAGUGGAAUUCCACGUGUAGCGGUGAAAUGCGUAGAGAUGUGGAGGAACACCAGUGGCGAAGGCGACUCUCUGGUCUGUAACUGACUCUGAGGAGCGAAAGCGUGGGGAGCGAACAGGAUUAGAUACCCUGGUAGUCCACGCCGUAAACGAUGAGUGCUAAGUGUUAGGGGGUUUCCGCCCCUUAGUGCUGCAGCUAACGCAUUAAGCACUCCGCCUGGGGAGUA
rnacentral:rRNA from 1 species